rnacentral:rRNA from 1 species
UCCUAAGGGGGCUAGCGUUGCUCGGAAUCACUGGGCGUAAAGGGUGCGUAGGCGGGUCUUUAAGUCAGGGGUGAAAUCCUGGAGCUCAACUCCAGAACUGCCUUUGAUACUGAAGAUCUUGAGUUCGGGAGAGGUGAGUGGAACUGCGAGUGUAGAGGUGAAAUUCGUAGAUAUUCGCAAGAACACCAGUGGCGAAGGCGGCUCACUGGCCCGAUACUGACGCUGAGGCACGAAAGCGUGGGGAGCAAACAGG